AUGGCUCAAAUGGUAGAGUACUUGCCUGGAAAGUGUGAGACCCUGAGUUCAAACCUCAGU
rnacentral:tRNA from 1 species